rnacentral:rRNA from 1 species
AACCCUAGACAGAGGAUCACUUGGCUCAUGGGUCGAUGAAGACCGCAGCAAACUGCGCGUCGCCAUGUGAACUGCAGGACACA